rnacentral:rRNA from 1 species
GGUUAAGCGACUAAGCGUACACGGUGGAUGCCCUGGCAGUCAGAGGCGAUGAAGGGCGUGCUAAUCUGCGAUAAGCGCCGGUAAGGUGAUAUGAACCGUUAUAACCGGCGAUACCCGAAUGGGGAAACCCAGUGUGACUCGUCACACUAUCAUUAACUGAAUCCAUAGGUUAAUGAGGCGAACCGGGGGAACUGAAACAUCUAAGUACCCCGAGGAAAAGAAAUCAACCGAGAUUCCCCCAGUAGCGGCGAGCGAACGGGGAGGAGCCCAGAGCCUGAAUCAGCAUGUGUGUUAGUGGAAGCGUCUGGAAAGGCGCGCGAUACAGGGUGACAGCCCCGUACACAAAAGCGCAUGUGCUGUGAGCUCGAUGAGUAGGGCGGGACACGUGGUAUCCUGUCUGAAUAUGGGGGGACCAUCCUCCAAGGCUAAAUACUCCUGACUGACCGAUAGUGAACCAGUACCGUGAGGGAAAGGCGAAAAGAACCCCGGCGAGGGGAGUGAAAAAGAACCUGAAACCGUGUACGUACAAGCAGUGGGAGCCCCACCACUAAGCCAGUGGUGAACUCCACAUACGCAUCCUUUGCUGAGGAUACGGUUAACGGAGCGAAAGCGACGUUCAACCUCAAAAGAAGCAGAGGGGGCUUAGUGGUGGGGUGACUGCGUACCUUUUGUAUAAUGGGUCAGCGACUUAUAUUCUGUAGCAAGGUUAACCGAAUAGGGGAGCCGGAGGGAAACCGAGUCUUAACCGGGCGUUAAGUUGCAGGGUAUAGACCCGAAACCCGGUGAUCUAGCCAUGGGCAGGUUGAAGGUUGGGUAACACUAACUGGAGGACCGAACCGACUAAUGUUGAAAAAUUAGCGGAUGACCUGUGGCUGGGGGUGAAAGGCCAAUCAAACCGGGAGAUAGCUGGUUCUCCCCGAAAGCUAUUUAGGUAGCGCCUCGUGAAUUCAUCUCCGGGGGUAGAGCACUGUUUCGGCUAGGGGGCCAUCCCGGCUUACCAACCCGAUGCAAACUGCGAAUACCGGAGAAUGUUAUCACGGGAGACACACGGCGGGUGCUAACGUCCGUCGUGAAGAGGGAAACAACCCAGACCGCCAGCUAAGGUCCCAAAGUCAUGGUUAAGUGGGAAACGAUGUGGGAAGGCCCAGACAGCCAGGAUGUUGGCUUAGAAGCAGCCAUCAUUUAAAGAAAGCGUAAUAGCUCACUGGUCGAGUCGGCCUGCGCGGAAGAUGUAACGGGGCUAAACCAUGCACCGAAGCUGCGGCAGCGAACGUAUCACUUAAAGCGAUUCAGCGGAUGACGAUUGACGGAGCGAAGCGACGUCAAAGCGUAUACAAAGUCGAGUCGGUUUAAGGAUACGUUCGUUGGGUAGGGGAGCGUUCUGUAAGCCUGUGAAGGUGUGUCGUGAGGCAUGCUGGAGGUAUCAGAAGUGCGAAUGCUGACAUAAGUAACGAUAAAGCGGGUGAAAAGCCCGCUCGCCGGAAGACCAAGGGUUCCUGUCCAACGUUAAUCGGGGCAGGGUGAGUCGACCCCUAAGGCGAGGCCGAAAGGCGUAGUCGAUGGGAAACGGGUUAAUAUUCCCGUACUUGGUGUUACUGCGAAGGGGGGACGGAGAAGGCUAUGUUGGCCGGGCGACGGUUGUCCCGGUUUAAGCGUGUAGGCUGGUUUUCCAGGCAAAUCCGGAAAAUCAAGGCUGAGGCGUGACGACGAGGCACUACGGUGCUGAAGCAACAAAUGCCCUGCUUCCAGGAAAAGCCUCUAAGCAUCAGGUAACAUCAAAUCGUACCCCAAACCGACACAGGUGGUCAGGUAGAGAAUACCAAGGCGCUUGAGAGAACUCGGGUGAAGGAACUAGGCAAAAUGGUGCCGUAACUUCGGGAGAAGGCACGCUGACACGUAGGUGAAGUGAUUUACUCAUGGAGCUGAAGUCAGUCGAAGAUACCAGCUGGCUGCAACUGUUUAUUAAAAACACAGCACUGUGCAAACACGAAAGUGGACGUAUACGGUGUGACGCCUGCCCGGUGCCGGAAGGUUAAUUGAUGGGGUCAGCGCAAGCGAAGCUCCUGAUCGAAGCCCCGGUAAACGGCGGCCGUAACUAUAACGGUCCUAAGGUAGCGAAAUUCCUUGUCGGGUAAGUUCCGACCUGCACGAAUGGCGUAAUGAUGGCCAGGCUGUCUCCACCCGAGACUCAGUGAAAUUGAACUCGCUGUGAAGAUGCAGUGUACCCGCGGCAAGACGGAAAGACCCCGUGAACCUUUACUAUAGCUUGACACUGAACAUUGAGCCUUGAUGUGUAGGAUAGGUGGGAGGCUUUGAAGCGUGGACGCCAGUCUGCGUGGAGCCGACCUUGAAAUACCACCCUUUAAUGUUUGAUGUUCUAACGUGGACCCGUAAUCCGGGUUGCGGACAGUGUCUGGUGGGUAGUUUGACUGGGGCGGUCUCCUCCUAAAGAGUAACGGAGGAGCACGAAGGUUGGCUAAUCCUGGUCGGACAUCAGGAGGUUAGUGCAAUGGCAUAAGCCAGCUUGACUGCGAGCGUGACGGCGCGAGCAGGUGCGAAAGCAGGUCAUAGUGAUCCGGUGGUUCUGAAUGGAAGGGCCAUCGCUCAACGGAUAAAAGGUACUCCGGGGAUAACAGGCUGAUACCGCCCAAGAGUUCAUAUCGACGGCGGUGUUUGGCACCUCGAUGUCGGCUCAUCACAUCCUGGGGCUGAAGUAGGUCCCAAGGGUAUGGCUGUUCGCCAUUUAAAGUGGUACGCGAGCUGGGUUUAGAACGUCGUGAGACAGUUCGGUCCCUAUCUGCCGUGGGCGCUGGAGAACUGAGGGGGGCUGCUCCUAGUACGAGAGGACCGGAGUGGACGCAUCACUGGUGUUCGGGUUGUCAUGCCAAUGGCACUGCCCGGUAGCUAAAUGCGGAAGAGAUAAGUGCUGAAAGCAUCUAAGCACGAAACUUGCCCCGAGAUGAGUUCUCCCUGAGACUUAGAGUCUCCUGAAGGAACGUUGAAGACGACGACGUUGAUAGGCCGGGUGUGUAAGCGCAGCGAUGCGUUGAGCUAACCGGUACUAAUGAACCGUGAGGCUUAACCUU